rnacentral:rRNA from 1 species
AGAGUUUGAUCCUGGCUCAGGACGAACGCUGGCGGUGUGCCUCACACAUGCAAGUCGAACGGGGUAGCAAUACCCAGUGGCGGACGGGUGAGUAACACGUGGGAAUCUGCCUUAAGGAGGGGGAUAGCAGGCCGAAAGGCCUAUUAAUACCGCAUAAGCCGCAAGGUAAAAGGAGCAAUCCGCCAUAAGAUGAGCCCGCG